rnacentral:rRNA from 1 species
AGAGAGCUUGCUUUUUAAGCUUAGUGGCGAACGGGUGAGUAACGCGUGAGUAACCUGCCCUAGAGUGGGGGACAACAGUUGGAAACGACUGCUAAUACCGCAUAAGCCCACGGUACCGCAUGGUGCUGAGGGAAAAGGAUUUAUUCGCUUUAGGAUGGACUCGCGUCCAAUUAGCUAGUUGGUGAGGUAACGGCCCACCAAGGCGACGAUUGGUAGCCGGACUGAGAGGUUGAACGGCCACAUUGGGACUGAGACACGGCCCAGACUCCUACGGGAGGCAGCAGUGGGGGAUAUUGCACAAUGGGGGAAACCCUGAUGCAGCGACGCCGCGUGGAGGAAGAAGGUUUUCGGAUUGUAAACUCCUGUCGUUAGGGACGAUAAUGACGGUACCUAACAAGAAAGCACCGGCUAACUACGUGCCAGCAGCCGCGGUAAAACGUAGGGUGCAAGCGUUGUCCGGAAUUACUGGGUGUAAAGGGAGCGCAGGCGGGAAGACAAGUUGGAAGUGAAAACCAUGGGCUCAACCCAUGAAUUGCUUUCAAAACUGUUUUUCUUGAGUAGUGCAGAGGUAGAUGGAAUUCCCGGUGUAGCGGUGGAAUGCGUAGAUAUCGGGAGGAACACCAGUGGCGAAGGCGGUCUACUGGGCACCAACUGACGCUGAGGCUCGAAAGCAUGGGUAGCAAACAGGAUUAGAUACCCUGGUAGUCCAUGCCGUAA